UACGGGGGAUGCGAGCGUUAUCCGGAUUUAUUGGGUUUAAAGGGUGCGCAGGCGGCGAGUUAAGUCAGCGGUAAAAUUUCGGGGCUCAACCCCGGCGAGCCGUUGAAACUGGCGGGCUGGAGUUGGAGAGAAGUAUGCGGAAUGCGUGGUGUAGCGGUGAAAUGCAUAGAUAUCACGCAGAACUCCGAUUGCGAAGGCAGCAUACCGGCGCUCAACUGACGCUCAUGCACGAAAGCGUGGGUAUCGAACAGG
rnacentral:rRNA from 1 species